UAGGUCUAUGAAAGCACAUGUUAUAAUUUCUUUCAACUAGUCCCAAAACAAGUUGCUUAUGUGACACCUAUCUGAGUGCAACUGCCCUACUUAUCUUAUAGUCUUCAGUAGCCACCACGCAGAUACUUCUUGUAUCUAAUACUCAGCAUCAGUGGUGGUUCCCAGGUUAACCAUAUGGUGCAUUCAAGUCUGUGGCCAUCAUUAAAACUGAAUUCAACAAUUCUAUGAUGUGCUAAAUAAUAAAAUACUUCUUUAAUCUCCCCCAGCAUUUCAGUUCACUGGAUAGAAUCACACUCUAGUAUCAUGAGGGAAAAUAAAAAUUCCCUGUUCAUUUCUAUCAUAUUUCCCUCAUUCAGUACAGUUUAUAGCUGCAGAUAAUGUACAUUUUAUUCAUGGAGAAGUUGCUAGUCCCUUGAUAUUUUCUUUACUUUUUCAAGCUGUACAAUAUCCUUGUUCGGGUUUGGUAUGUAGUGACCAUAACACACUAUUCCCAAGUCUCUUGUACUAUAGACUCUAUAAAAGGGCAAUGUGAUGCCGGUGUUUUAUUUCUGACGUCUUUUCUCAGUAUUCCUAUCAUUAAAUUUUAAAACUUUUACAGGGGUUGUCUUAGGUCAAUAUUUCCCACAAGAAUCCCAAGAUUCAUUUAUUUGUUCUCUGCUGCCCUAGAGGGUAAGACUGACUCCAACAGUCUGCAGUUACAGGAGGGUAGAUUUCAAUGAAACAUUAGAAGGAACAUCUUGGCAGCAAGAGCUGUUUGGCAAGGGAACCAAUUGCUUAGAGAAGCGGUGGGAUCUCUUUCUCUGGAUGUCUUCAAAAGAGAGACUGCUGGGGAUGUUAUACCUGGAGUUAUUGCACAGGAUGGGGUUGGACUCAAGGGGAGCCCUCCUUGCUCUAGGAUUCUAGUACAUUUCCAUUUCUUUUUCAGACUUUGUGUGGGCAGCCAGUGCAAGUUGAUAUGAUUCACACAGUGUGAACUGUAUGUUUGCCAUUUUCUCACCUCUGUUGCCAAAUUGUAUGUUUCCAUGAUUGAGUGGGGACCCAAACCUUGGUCUUCAGAAUCAUAGUCCAAUGCUCAAACCACUAUAUCAUGCCAUCAAAAACCUCGAAAACCACAUGCAUGUCUAUGAUUGCAGCCACUUUAGGGUUUCCAUGAUGAAACUCACAAAAGUGUUUAAAAUAAAUGGUUUCAGAACCCAGAGUUCAAUAACAGAUUACUAACUUGGAACAUGUUCUUCAUCACAUUCCCAGCAAAUGAUUUUAGAAUGCAAGAUUUUUAAAUAUAAAUGUAAACUUUAUUUACUUAUUUUAAAACAUUGGACAUAUUACCAUUGCCUUGUUACAUUGUUUAUUCCCAAAUCUGUAUAUGCCCUCCCCCACUCUCCAAUAUUAUUCAUAUAGCGUUAUAAAAAUGCAGGUCUAUUACUUUUACUAAUUCCAGUUUCAUCAACUGCAUAUCAUUAUGAUAAUAUAUUUUCUAGUUGUUUAUCCACAAUUCUUCUUGGUUGUUUGCUGGUUUGAAUUCAUUAUUGCUUUUACACGUAAAGUUGAUAAAUGGUUUCCAUUUAUCAAACAGAUCUUUAUUUCUACUUUUUCUAAUUUUAAUUUGUAAGUUAACUUUUCAGAUAGGGCAAUAGCCCACAUCUUAUUUCAUCAAUUCUUUAUGGAUAAAUUCUCUAGUUUUUUCCUAGGUUCUGACUAUUUCAAGUCUUGUGGCACAUAACAUGAGCAAUAUAAGGUUUUGAUUUAUCAAGUCCUCAUUAUUACUUUCGAAUACUGAAAUAAUUAAUAGAGGUCCCCUGAAGAGUACUGUUUCCCCCAUUAUUUGGUUUAUCCAAGGUAAAACUUCAUCCCAGAAUCUUCAUAUUUUUAUGCAAGACACAAGGUUCAACUACCAGUUCACAUACCCUUUACUCCAAUGCAGAUAGAUGUGUUGAGAACAUAGGGAAAACAUACAUGUUCUACAAAACAGAUGUAGCAAUCACAUUAUAUGCAGUCUUUUUUGCAAGUUUCUACCUAUUUGGUAUGCAGUUACCAUGGUUUCACGCGUGAUUGAAGAUGGAAUAUUUAAAGACACCAAAAAUAAAUUGGGCAGUGCAACCCAAUGUUUCUCUUUCUUUCUUUCUCUCUCUCUCUUGUAUACUUCACGCAUGACCACAUGAUGUUGAAUCUCAUCCAUGUGCAAGGAAGAAGCAGAAGAAAGGCCAAGUUCAUGGCAAGUCUGUUCCUCAACGUUGUUGCCACUGGAGACUGACCGACAACUUUUGGGAUGUGCUCAAGGAGGACACUCUUGCGACAGGCCUACAUGACAGACUCACCAAUGGAAGGUCAUCAAUGUCACAUCACAUGCACUUCCUGUCUGGAAAACAACUGAGAAGACAUGACAUGUGUUUACAAAAGAACUAAAGCUUCCAGAACACUACCAAGGAACUUUGCUUCCCAGGGUGACAUCCCAUCCAAGAGUCAUGAUGAACUCUGCAAAGCCCCGAGAUGAUGCAGCUGCAGCUUCCAGAUCAAGACAGGCUUUUCUCAACCCCAAGGCUUUCCUGAACCUGGCUUGAUUUGACACACUCAGCCGUGGGGCUCUUUCAUGCUCACUGGAGAGAAAAAAGAGUACCAAAGAUGGGUUGUCAUUUACUGGGAUGCCUGCUGCAUCUAGUGCAUCCAGCCAACCAUUCUAGAAUAUGGUUUUUAUGAAAUACAAAGGAAACAGAUCAUGAAUUGACCCCAUCUGUGAGAGUUUUAAGUUCUAAUACAGCAAAAUGUGUGCACCAGGUCAUAAUCGGCAUGGGCAAACUUCAGUCCUCCAGGUGUUUUGGAGUUCAACUCCCAGAAAUCCCAGUCAGCUUACCAGCUGUCAGGAAUUGUGGGAGCUGAAGUCCAAAACACCUGGAGGACCAAAGUUUGCCCAUGCCUGAGUCAUAGGUAUAGUGUUGUUCUCGUUCUUGCAUGUCUUCGUGUCAUUUCUGGCUUAUGCUGAACCCAUCACAAGGUUUUCUUGGCAGGAUUUGUUCAUAAAGGGCUUCUCUUUAAGAGAGAGUUCUUGACUUGCUCAAGGUCACCCAGUGGGUUUCCAUGGGAUUUGAACCCUGGUCUCCAGAAUCUACAAAGCUUAAAUCCCUAAAGAGCUCAAGACCCAGGUAUUGUUCUGAAAACAACACAAGCACAAUAACCCAUGGUUGGCAGAUAUCUCUGAUGUAUUUGGAAGACAGCUAACAAAAUGUCAUUAUUUAAAGGAGAAAUGUUCCUACUGCUAUUCUCUUAAUUUAAUCUAAAAUCCUAUUCAUGCUGUUAAUCAUGAUCUUGGCCACAGGUGCAUUGUAUAUCAUCUUAAUCCAGUUCUGAAAUGUCAAAGUGGUAUUAAACAGAUUUGUAAAGAAUAUAUUCAGGAACAAACUUAAUUUCCCAGCUGUUCUUCUAGAACCAUAACUUUCUUCUCUAUACAGUAAAGUCUGUACGGGCCUCUAUUAUGUAGGAUUUCUGAACCCAAAGGAGAUGAAGCCUUCACAUAUUUUUACAUCUGAGAAUACUAUUUAUGUUUGAAACCCCUAAAUAAAACAUAACCUUAGUGCAAUAUUUGUAUAAAACAGAACUUUCAAACUUUCUGCUCAAUUGUGCUUUCACAUAGAGACAUCAGAUUGGUGCAGGAAGUAUUGGAAGAUUUAUGUUCAUCACUGCAUAAGGGUCUUGCAAGUUUUAUGGUAAUUUUCCCCUAGUGCAAACAUUUAGUUAGCUACUCCAGGAAUUUUUCAAUGUAUGUACAUCUCUAAAGAGAUUUACAUGAACAAAGUGGAUGGGUCAUACAUAUAUUCCUUUGUCAAUGUCAGUCUGCUUUCUUAAAUGCAUCCCUGAAUUCUUUGUUGCCUACUAUUUUACCACUCCUCUUGAGAAAAGACUAUAAAGACUAAUAAAUUGUACUGAGUUGCAAUCCAA